rnacentral:rRNA from 1 species
GAUGAACGCUGGCGGCGUGCCUAAUACAUGCAAGUCGAGCGAACAGACGAGGAGCUUGCUCCUCUGACGUUAGCGGCGGACGGGUGAGUAACACGUGGAUAACCUACCUAUAAGACUGGGAUAACUUCGGGAAACCGGAGCUAAUACCGGAUAAUAUAUUGAACCGCAUGGUUCAAUAGUGAAAGACGGUUUUGCUGUCACUUAUAGAUGGAUCCGCGCCGCAUUAGCUAGUUGGUAAGGUAACGGCUUACCAAGGCAACGAUGCGUAGCCGACCUGAGAGGGUGAAGGGCAGACGAGGAACUGAGACGCGGCACAGAGUCGGAGGGGAGGCGGCGAUGGGGAGGUUGAGGCAAAGGGCGGAAGACUGACAAAGCAGCGCGGCGGGAGAGAAGAAGGUAUUAGGAUGGAAAAACUCUGUUAUGAGGGAAAAAAAAAAGAGAUAGGAACCAAGCACGUCGUGACGGUACCUAAUAAGAAAGCCACGGCUAACUACGUG